rnacentral:rRNA from 1 species
UACAGAGGUCUCAAGCGUUGUUCGGGAUUCAUUGGGCGUAAAGGGUGCGUAGGCGGCGGGGCAAGUCAGGUGUGAAAUCCCGGGAGCUCAACUCCGGAACUGCACUUGAUACUGCCUCGCUAGAGUACUGGAGAGGAGACUGGAAUUUACGGUGUAGCAGUGAAAUGCGUAGAGAUCGUAAGGAAGACCAGUGGCGAAGGCGAGUCUCUGGACAGUUCCUGACGCUGAGGCACGAAGGUCAGGGGAGCAAACGGG